UAUGUGAUCGUCUCUCGCAUAUCAAUAAGCGGAGGAAAAGAAACUAACAAGGAUUCCCCUAGUAACGGCGAGUGAAGCGGGAAGAGCUCAAAUUUGAAAUCUUAAAGGAUUUCCCUUUACGAAUUGUAGUUUAAAGAAGUGUUUUCUGUUGAGGUUUUGGUAAGAGUUCUUUGGAAUAGGACAUCAUAGAGGGUGAGAAUCCCGUAUUUGACCUUUACUUUCAACUUUGUGAUACACUUUCAAAGAGUCGGAUUGUUUGGGAAUGCAGUCCAAAAUGGGUGGUAAAUUUCAUCUAAAGCUAAAUAUUGGCGAGAGACCGAUAGCGAACAAGUACCGUGAGGGAAAGAUGAAAAGAACUUUGAAAAGAGAGUUAAACAGUACGUGAAAUUGUCAAAAGGGAAGCGUUUGACACCAGUGUUGUUUUUCUGAAAAUCAAUUAAAGAACUGUUUAUGCUAAGUUGUUUAGACUUUAUCAGCUAACUGUUUAGUUUUGAGCUUUUCUUUAAUGCACUUUUCAGUUAACAAGUCGACAUCAAUUUCUUUUGCUGUAAAAAAGCUUGAGGAAGGUGGCUUGAGAUUCGUCUUAAGUAGUUUAUAGCCUCUUGCCUAUGCAGUCGGAGAGAUUGAGGUCUGCAGCGUAGAUCCUUCGGGGCUAAAUGCAUUUGUGCUAAGUUAUAGCAUUUUAUAGACAACUUGUUGACUAUGAUUUGUCUUGUAGCUUACUCGCUUAUGUUAUUUUACCUACGCUUAGGAUGUUGAGUCGUAGAGCACGCAG
rnacentral:rRNA from 1 species